rnacentral:lncRNA from 1 species
CUGCGGCAUUCCUUAUCAAUUUGGUGCUCUCAGUUUUGUACUUGACGAGGCUCAGGGACGCGUGUCGCGGCGUUUCUGAUGCUGCCUUUGAGCUUGUGCGGUUCAGGCACAUCCCCCGCAAGGACCUCUUCAUAAUUAUCAACCGAUCCUUGAAGGAAGAAACCUUCCCUUGUAUCCUUACUUCAGCUCUGUCGUUUAAGGAUCUUUAUCGGUUGUUGGACAUUUCGUGGAACUAUUUCACCAUCGCAGAGGCAAUGGCGAGGAAACGUCCGGAAAAUAGCUCAUCAAGAAACUCCAGUCUCAUCCCCAACUUUCAAGUCGGGAAUGCCCCGGCCGCAAACGGGUGACCACGCCAAAAUUUUUCGAAUCGCCAGGAUGUCGAACGGGAGUUGCUCCUUACAGGCACUAACACAAAAAUCACGAUGACUGCAUCAGACAUGUUGGAGAUGUAUUCCUACCUCCAUGGUAUGCAGAGGAACUUUGCCUAUUUUGUUCAAUUUGAGGAUAAGCGUAAAAAUAAAAGAUUUUCGGUGA